rnacentral:tRNA from 1 species
GGAGAGGUGGCAGAGUGGUCGAAUGUACCUGACUCGAAAUCAGGCGAACCGUAAGGUUCCGAGGGUUCGAAUCCCUCCCUCUCCU